rnacentral:lncRNA from 1 species
GUUCGAACAGACAGGGACAGACAGGGCAUAGAUCCCAAGCCAGGACUCGGCCAUGCCUCGCUUUCCUUCAUCCCACACUGGUCUAGAGGGCGCAGGUGGUCCCCACGAGAUCAUGUGACCUCGGGAAAGCCUUUGCCCUCUCUGUCCUCAGUUGGCCCAUCCAGAGAGUGGCCCGCUCAGAAAGUGAAUACUUGCCUGGGUUUCGUGUGCACCAGAUUCAGCCCUUGGGGGGAGGUAACAUGUGGAUCCUCGCCCUCACUUUAUAGACUGGGAAACUGAGGCCCGCAAAGAUCAAGUCCUCGCCAAGAGUUACAUACGUGGACAGAGUCCUGGAACCCCAGCUCCGCUGCAGAGGAGAGGAGGCUGCAGCCCACAACCUCGGGGUCUGGAGUUUUCUGCGAGCUGGGAGGCAGCAUUGCUGGAGAGGUUGGUCACCCUUCCCCAGUGGCUCCGCCCAGACACCAUUCCCCCCAGCACCCUUGGCCCUCGGUCCCCAGAGCUUCCUGGACUGGGGAGGAGGGGACCGGGAGGGAGAAUGUGGACAGCGCCGCCUGCCGGGUUCUUGCCUCUGGGGGGACUCUCGGUCUGUCUCUGCCGCUUUAUCUCCAUUCUCUUCACCGGGUCUCUGCAUCCCUGUCUCUGUCUCCGCGUGCGAGUCUUUGUCGCUCUCUUCUGUGUCUCCGUCUCUCCUUCUGUCUCUUUGUAUGUGUCUCUCGUUCCCUACGUUUCUCCCUCUUUCUGCCUUUCUCUUUUAGUCUCGCCAUUCUUUGGCUGUCUUUUUGUCUCUUUCUGAGUCUGUCUCUGCCUCUCUCAGUAUCUUUCUGUGCGCCUCUGGCUCUCUGCCUUGAUUGAUGUUUCUCUCCCCUUCUCCUCCGACGAGUCUUUACUCUCCGGUGAGAAGAGGCUGGCCGAGAACGCGCCCAGACCUGCCUCCGCCCCCAGAGCCCCGGGCCGCUGAGGGCCUGCGCCUUUAAGUGCUGGCGGCAGGGGGCGGGGUCUUGUCGGCCCCGCCCUGCCCGCCCCUCCCCGUGACGUCUCUUCCCAGCCCCUCCACCGCCUCCCUCCGCCGCCGCACCAGCCAGCUCUGCUGCGCCCACUCCCCGGCCUCCGCCCGCCGUCCUGCCCGCCGCCCCAUGGCGCCCCAGGCCCUAGUUGUGCGGGGCCGCUAGGACCCUAGGCGUCCCCUUCCCUCCCCCCCUCCCACGGCGCGAACCCGGGUGUCCCCGGCGCCCAGCUUUGGAGCUUCGCGUCCCUGAAGAGAGGGGACCCCCCCCCCCCACCUCGCCGCCCAGUCUCCUGGGACCCGGAGAAAAUGUCUUCGCGGACUGCGCUGGCCCCGGGGCAACGACCGGAACUCGGACACGGACCAGCGCAGGACAAAUGUCAAGAACUCAUGUGCAAGUGUGACCAGGCGGUUGCUUACUGCUUAGCCCAAACCGAGUACACCAUCAAGUACCUCUUCUACCCCCGUUUUCUGUGUGAGAAGGACUCACCCAAAUGUGACUGACUAGCCUGACUUGAAAUGUCUUUUUUGCACAAGGAAAUAAAACUCCUUUUUGC